GGCCAGGAAGAGGGGAAGGUCUGGGAGGACCUGGAGGGCGCAGCCCAGGGACAAGGAGGGGCAGGAGGGAGCCUGGACUUUGGAGGAUGGGGAAGGCAGGCCAGGGCCCGGAGUGGGUGAAGACUUCUCAGGACUAGGCCAGGUACGGACCCUGCCACACCCCUGGCCAUGAAGAAAUUCGUCUCCCAUGCCACUUGCCAUGACUCCCUGGGGUUGCAAGAACAGGAAUCGUACCUCAUCAUGGGCCAGACGUCAGACCUGUGGAGAAUCAAAUCUGAUUACAGCUAUGUUCUGGGCAAGGAGACGUUCCUCAUCCUUUGGCCAGCAGAUGGAGAUGCCAGCAAGAAAGAAUUGCGGGACCAACUGGAGGAAUUUUUGGAAUAUAUGCGCACCCACGGCUGCCAGUCCUGAGCCUCUUCUGCUUUCAGGGAGGUGUCAUCAGGCAGCUCUGGGCCACUGGGUUUAACCCCAAAUAAAGAGCACAGGAUAUGACACCCAAA
ensembl:lncRNA C3P1 complement component 3 precursor pseudogene